AUACUUUAAGAUAGAUUUUGACGUGUAGUAUUUAUUCUCAUCAGUCUAAUAUCUGAUACCUCACCUUUAUGAGGACUCUACAUUAAAGUGACUUUUAGAGCUGGGAGAGGGAAAGGGGGCUUGCUCUGUCCACUCCACACAUCGACCUGGUAUUGUAGUACUUCCAGGCUUUUGAGGCCAGUGGU